AGCGAACGCUGGCGGCAGGCCUAACACAUGCAAGUCGAACGAAGCCUUCGGGCUUAGUGGCGGACGGGUGAGUAACACGUGGGAACGUACCUUUUGGUUCGGAAUAACGCAGAGAAAUUUGCGCUAAUACCGAAUGAGCCCUUAGGGGGAAAGAUUUAUCGCCGAAAGAUCGGCCCGCGUUGGAUUGGGUAGUUGGUGUGGUAAAGGCGCACCAAGCCUACGAUCCAUAGCUGGUCUGAGAGGAUGAUGAGCCACACUGGGACUGAGACACGGCCCAGACUCCUACGGGAGGCAGCAGUGGGGAAUCUUGCGCAAUGGGCGAAAGCCUGACGCAGCCAUGCCGCGUGAAUGAUGAAGGUCUUAGGAUUGUAAAAUUCUUUUACCAGGGACGAUAAUGACGGUACCUGGAGAAAAAGCCCCGGCUAACUUUGUGCCAGCCGCCGCGGUAAAAC
rnacentral:rRNA from 1 species